rnacentral:tRNA from 10 species
CCGGACAUAGCUCAGUUGGAAGUAGCGAUGGUUUGUAACACCAUAGGUCGCCGGUUCGAUUCCGGCUGUCCGGA